rnacentral:rRNA from 1 species
CGUACACUCCUACGGGAGGCAGCAGUGGGGAAUUUUGGACAAUGGGCGAAAGCCUGAUCCAGCCAUGCCGCGUGCAGGAUGAAGGCCUUCGGGUUGUAAACUGCUUUUGUACGGAACGAAACGGCCUUUUCUAAUAAAGAGGGCUAAUGACGGUACCGUAAGAAUAAGCACCGGCUAACUACGUGCCAGCAGCCGCGGUAAUACGUAGGGUGCAAGCGUUAAUCGGAAUUACUGGGCGUAAAGCGUGCGCAGGCGGUUAUGUAAGACAGUUGUGAACUCCCCGGGCUCAACCUGGGAACUGCAUCUGUGACUGCAUAGCUAGAGUACGGUAGAGGGGGAUGGAAUUCCGCGUGUAGCAGUGAAAUGCGUAGAUAUGCGGAGGAACACCGAUGGCGAAGGCAAUCCCCUGGACCUGUACUGACGCUCAUGCACGAAAGCGUGGGGAGCAAACAGGAUUAGAAACCCGAGUAGUCCCA